UACGGAGGGUGCGAGCGUUGUCCGGAAUCAUUGGGCGUAAAGGGCGCGUAGGUGGCCCCUCAAGCGUGCGGUGAAAGUCAGGGGCUCAACCCCGAGUCGGCCGUGCGAACUGCUGGGCUGGAGCACUGUAGAGGCAGGCGGAAUCCGGGUGUAGCGGUGGAAUGCGUAGAGAUCCGGAAGAACACCGGUGGCGAAGGCGGCCUGCUGGGCAG
rnacentral:rRNA from 1 species